GCGAGAGUAGCAGGGUGUCGUUUUUUUUAAUUUGAAAGUACCACGCCUCAGCCCGCGGAAGGGGCAUUGUCAUUUGGGGGGCGUGAGUGCGAAAGAAGAAGAGGGGGAGUCUAUUUGUAGCGGUGACGAUGGGCAGGAGAUAUAUAGGAACAGCAGUGCCGAAGAUGACUCUUUUUUUCUGUUUCUGACACUGAUGUGCGAAAACGUGAGGGUCAAACAGAAUUAGAUAUACUGGUAGUSCUCGCCGUCAACGUAUGAGUAAUAAGUGUUAGGGGGGGUGGGCCCCCUUAGUGUUGCAGCUAAAGCAAUAACCACUACCCCUGGGGAGGACGAGCGCAAGGUUGAGACUCAAAGGAAAAGACGGGGGCGCGCCCAACCGGUGGAGCAUGAGGUUUAAUUUUAAGCAGCACGAAGAACAUUACCAAAUCUUGACAUCCUCUGAUCGCUCUAGAGAUAGAGAUAUAUCCUUCGGGGGACAAAGAAACAGGUGGUGCAUGGUUGUCGUCAGCUCGUGUCGUGAGAUGUUGGGUUAAGUAACGCAACGAGCGCAACCCUUAAUUUUAGUUGCCAUCAUUAAGUUGGGCACUCUAGGUUGACUGCCGGUGACAACCCGGAGGAAGGUGGGGAUGACGUCAAAUCAUCAUGCCCCUUAUGAUUUGGGGUACUCCCGUGGUACAAUGGAUAAUACAAAGGGCAGCGAAUACGCGAGGUCAACCAAAUCCCAUAAAAUUAUUUUCAGUUCGGAUUGUAGUAUGCAACUCGUCUACAUGAAGCAGGAAUCGUUAGUAAUCGUAGAUCAGCAUCCUACGGUGAAUACGUUGUCGGGUGUUGUACACCCCGCCCGUCACCCCACGAGAGUUUGUAACACCCGAAGCCGGUGGAGUACUCUUUUAUUAGGAGCCUAGCCCCA
rnacentral:rRNA from 2 species